GACAGAGGGUGCAAGCGUUGUUCGGAAUUACUGGGCGUAAAGCGCGUGUAGGCUGCUUGGAAAGUCGGAUGUGAAAGCCCUGGGCUCAACCUAGGAAGUGCAUUCGAAACUUCCAAGCUGGAGUGCUGGAGAGGAAGGCGGAAUUCUCGGUGUAGAGGUGAAAUUCGUAGAUAUCGAGAGGAACACCGGUGGCGAAGGCGGCCUUCUGGACAGUUACUGACGCUGAGACGCGAAAGCGUGGGGAGCAAACAGG
rnacentral:rRNA from 1 species